CGGCGUGCUUAACACAUGCAAGUCGAACGGAAAGGCCCUGCUUUUGUGGGGUGCUCGAGUGGCGAACGGGUGAGUAACACGUGAGUAACCUGCCCUUGACUUUGGGAUAACUUCAGGAAACUGGGGCUAAUACCGGAUAGGAGCUCCUGCUGCAUGGUGGGGGUUGGAAAGUUUCGGCGGUUGGGGAUGGACUCGCGGCUUAUCAGCUUGUUGGUGGGGUAGUGGCUUACCAAGGCUUUGACGGGUAGCCGGCCUGAGAGGGUGACCGGCCACAUUGGGACUGAGAUACGGCCCAGACUCCUACGGGAGGCAGCAGUGGGGAAUAUUGCACAAUGGGCGGAAGCCUGAUGCAGCAACGCCGCGUGCGGGAUGACGGCCUUCGGGUUGUAAACCGCUUUCGCCUGUGACGAAGCGUGAGUGACGGUAAUGGGUAAAGAAGCACCGGCUAACUACGUGCCAGCAGCCGCGGUGAUACGUAGGGUGCGAGCGUUGUCCGGAUUUAUUGGGCGUAAAGGGCUCGUAGGUGGUUGAUCGCGUCGGAAGUGUAAUCUUGGGGCUUAACCCUGAGCGUGCUUUCGAUACGGGUUGACUUGAGGAAGGUAGGGGAGAAUGGAAUUCCUGGUGGAGCGGUGGAAUGCGCAGAUAUCAGGAGGAACACCAGUGGCGAAGGCGGUUCUCUGGGCCUUUCCUGACCU
rnacentral:rRNA from 1 species